rnacentral:rRNA from 1 species
AAUGGGCGAAAGCCUGAUGGAGCAACGCCGCGUGUGUGAUGAAGGUUUUCGGAUCGUAAAGCACUUUCGACCGGGACGAAUAACCUGGUGCUAACAUCGCCAGGCUUGACGGUACCGGGAGAAGAAGCACCGGCUAACUCUGUGCCAGCAGCCGCGGUAAUACAGAGGGUGCAAGCGUUGUUCGGAAUUAUUGGGCGUAAAGCGCGUGUAGGCGGUCUUGCAAGUCGGGUGUGAAAGCCCUCAGCUCAACUGAGGAAGUGCGCCCGAAACUGCUUGACUUGAGUGUCGGAGAGGGUGGCGGAAUUCCGCAAGUAGAGGUGAAAUUCGUAGAUAUGCGGAGGAACACCGGUGGCGAAGGCGGCCACCUGGACGACUACUGACGCUGAGACGCGAAAGCGUGGGGAGCAAA